rnacentral:rRNA from 1 species
GUGCCAGCGCCGCGGUAAUACGGAGGGUGCAAGCGUUGUCCGGAUUUAUUGGGUUUAAAGGGUGCGUAGGCGGCCGAUUAAGUCAGUGGUGAAAUCCCGGGGCUCAACCCCGGAACUGCCAUUGAUACUGGUUGGCUUGAGUUCGGUCGAGGCGGGCGGAACUGGUGGUGUAGCGGUGAAAUGCAUAGAUACCACCAAGAACCCCGAUUGCGAAGGCAGCUCGCUGGGCCGAAACUGACGCCGAGGCACGAAAGCGCGGGGAGCGAACAGGAUUAGAAACCCGUGUAGUCC